UGAGGAAUAUUGGUCAAUGGGCGAGAGCCUGAACCAGCCAAAUCGCGUGAAGGAGGACUGCCUUAUGGGUUGUAAACUUCUUUUAUACAGGAAUAAAAAAGGGGACGUGUCCCUUAUUGCAUGUACUGUAUGAAUAAGCAUCGGCUAACUCCGUGCCAGCAGCCGCGGUAAUACGGAGGAUGCGAGCGUUAUCCGGAUUUAUUGGGUUUAAAGGGUGCGCAGGCGGGCUUUUAAGUCAGCGGUGAAAUCUCGGGGCUUAACUCCGAAACUGCCGUUGAAACUGGGAGUCUUGAGUAUGGAUGAAGUAGGCGGAAUUCGUUGUGUAGCGGUGACAUGCUUAGAUAUAACGAGGAACUCCGAUUGCGUAGGCAGCUUACUAAGCCAUAACUGACGCUCAAGCACGAAAGCGUGGGGAUCAAAACAGAUUAGAUACCCUGGUAGUCCACGCCCGUAAAACGAUGAUUACUAGUUGUAUGCGAUAUACCGUAUGUGACUAAGCGAAAAGCGAUAAGUAAUCCACCUGGGGAGUACGCCGGCAACGGUGAAACUUAAAUGAAUUGACGGGGUCAUAGCUGUUUCCUG
rnacentral:rRNA from 1 species